rnacentral:rRNA from 1 species
AUUGAACGCUGGCGGCAUGCCUAACACAUGCAAGUCGAACGGUAACAGGCAGCAGGUUGCUGCUGCGCUGACGACUGGCGGGUAGUGGAGCGAUACCUGGGCAACGGCGUGGGGGAGGGGGGUGACAACUGUACAAGGAAGCUAAGAGCGCAUAACGUCGAAAGACGAAAGAGAGGGACCUUAUGGGGCCUCGCCCCCCUGUAGGGCCAGAUGUGAGUUGAUAGUGGGUGGGGGAAAGGCGCACCCCGACGACGAUCGCUAGCUGGUGUGAGAGGAUGACCAGCCACACUGGAACUGAGACACGGCCCAGACUCCUACGGGAGGCAGCAGUGGGGAAUUUUGCACAAUGGGCGCAAGCCUGAUGCAGCAAUGCCGCGCGUAGGAAGAAGGCCUUCGGGUUGUAAAGUACUUUUGUAGGGGAGGAAAGGAGUAUAGCUAAUACCUUUGGCUAAUGACGUUACCGGAAGAAGAAGCACCGGCUAACUCCGUG